UACGGAGGAUCCAAGCGUUAUCCGGAAUCAUUGGGUUUAAAGGGUCCGUAGGCGGGAUGAUAAGUCAGUGGUGAAAGUCUGCAGCUCAACUGUAGAACUGCCAUUGAUACUGUUGUCCUUGAGUCAUUAUGAAGUGGUUAGAAUAUGUAGUGUAGCGGUGAAAUGCAUAGAUAUUACAUAGAAUACCGAUUGCGAAGGCAGAUCACUAAUAAUGUACUGACGCUGAUGGACGAAAGCGUGGGGAGCAAACAGG
rnacentral:misc_RNA from 1 species